rnacentral:rRNA from 1 species
AUUGAACGCUGGCGGCAGGCCUAACACAUGCAAGUCGAGCGGAUGAAGGGAGCUUGCUCCUGGAUUCAGCGGCGGACGGGUGAGUAAUGCCUAGGAAUCUGCCUGGUAGUGGGGGAUAACGUCCGGAAACGGGCGCUAAUACCGCAUACGUCCUGAGGGAGAAAGUGGGGGAUCUUCGGACCUCACGCUAUCAGAUGAGCCUAGGUCGGAUUAGCUAGUUGGUGGGGUAACGGCCUACCAAGGCGACGAUCCGUAACUGGUCUGAGAGGAUGAUCAGUCACACUGGAACUGAGACACGGUCCAGACUCCUACGGGAGGCAGCAGUGGGGAAUAUUGGACAAAGGGCGAAAGCCUGAUCCAGCCAUGCCGCGUGUGUGAAGAAGGUCUUCGGAUUGUAAAGCACUUUAAGUUGGAAGGAAGGGCAGUAAGUUAAUACCUUGCUGUUUUGACGUUACCAACAGAAUAAGCACCGGCUAACUUCGUG